AUCGCUUCUCAGCCUUUUGGCUAUGAUAAUGUGUAGUUUAUGUUCUUAUCAGUUUAAUAUCUGAUACGUCCCCUAUCUGGGGACUAUAUCUUUUUGGGGGGGUUUAAAAAAGAAAAAGGAUUUUUUUAGUUCCUUUUGGAAUAAGGACAAGCAAUCCAAGAAGCCUUUCUCUGAGAAUAAAU